rnacentral:rRNA from 1 species
ACUCAAAGGAAUAGACGGGGGCUCACACAAGCGGUGGAGCAUGUGGCUCAAUUCGAAGCAACGCGAAGAACCUUAUCCUGGACUUGACAUGGUCGAAGUACAAUACGGAAACGUAAAGGACCGGUAUCCAAUCCGGAACGAUCACAGGUGCUGCAUGGCUGUCGUCAGCUCGUGCUGUGAAGUGUCGGGUUAAGUCCCAUAACGAGCGAAACCCCUAUCGUUAGUUGCCAGCGUGAAAGACGGGCACUCUAACGAGACUGCCGGUGUUAAACCGGAGGAAGGCGGGGAUGACGUCAAGUCGGCAUGGCCUUUAUGUUCAGGAGCGGGGGGGGCUGCACACGUGCUACAAUGCCGAUGACAAACUGAAGCAAGAUCGUAAGAUGGAGCUAAUCGGAGAAAAAUCGGCCCAGUUCAGAUUGAGGGCUGCAACUCGCCCUCAUGAAGUUGGAAUCGCUAGUAAUCGCGGAUCAGCUAUGCCGCGGUGAAUGUGUUCCUGAGCCUUGCACACACCGCCCGU